ACGUUGGUUCUGGUAAAUGCAGUAAUUUGAGUUAUAUUUUAGAAGUGCCUAGACAAAAUGUGCUCCUUGUCGUGUGCAGUAACCAUCGCAAACCCUCCGGACUCGUGUAACGCCGUUAGUUCGCCGUGUGUUUCGUGCGAUCUAUCAGUGUCGACAGUGAGUGUCUUACUACAGCGCCCGUCCAGCUGCCUUUGUUCUGCCCACGACCGGCUUGGUUCUGCCGAGCUGCCUGCCCGCGCUCUCGUGAAAAGUCUGGUACUGGAGCUUCGAAUCGUAGUGUUGAAGGUUCGAAUCGAAUCGAAUCGUAGGCUGUUGAAGGUUGUGCUUUUGUGGAGCUGGAGUUCAUCGGAAGUUCUACAGUGCUUGCGCCAGAAAGACGUCGGUGCCUCGGUACCUUUGAGACGAAGGAGCGUUGGCCAAGUCUUUUUAAAAGGCUAUGCGGAUUCUGGAGGCAUCCCUGCAUCGAGCAGGAACCUGCUGCACUGCUGGAAGCUGGACAGCACGACAAUAAAGCACGUGAUCUGUGCGCUUUCUCAAAGGUAGACAUCGGCGACGGUGUAUAUGUUGAAAAGGGCCUGCUGAAGAGGCUGCGCCUGGAUGCUAACAACUCGGGCUUUCAGUUUGCGGGGGGCCUCCUUAAGGCUCCUUUUACAAAAGAGGUUGAAGGGAGGCGCUACACAUGGAUGCGCAGCGAUUGUUUGUGACAGCGUCACUGCUGGCAGGCCUGGCCUGCCUUUUCGCUUUGUUCUGGG